rnacentral:rRNA from 1 species
AUUGAACGCUGGCGGCAUGCUUUACACAUGCAAGUCGAACGGCAGCGCGGGCUUCGGCCUGGCGGCGAGUGGCGAACGGGUGAGUAAUGCAUCGGAACGUGCCCAGUAGUGGGGGAUAGCCCGGCGAAAGCCGGAUUAAUACCGCAUACGACCUGAGGGUGAAAGCGGGGGACCGAAAGGCCUCGCGCUAUUGGAGCGGCCGAUGUCGGAUUAGCUAGUUGGUGGGGUAAAGGCUUACCAAGGCGACGAUCCGUAGCUGGUCUGAGAGGACGACCAGCCACACUGGGACUGAGACACGGCCCAGACUCCUACGGGAGGCAGCAGUGGGGAAUUUUGGACAAUGGGGGCAACCCUGAUCCAGCCAUGGCGCGUGCGGGAAGAAGGCCUUCGGGUUGGAAACCGGUUUUGUUCGGGAAGAAAUCCUCUGGGCUAAUACCCCGGGGGGAUGACGGUACCGGAAGAAUAAGCACCGGCUAACUACGUG